rnacentral:rRNA from 1 species
UACCAGCUCUCCGAGUUGUAGGGAUGAUUAUUGGGCUUAAAGCGUCCGUAGCUGGCUUAGCAAGUCUCCUGUUAAAUUCAGCGACCUAAUCGUUGAGCCGCGGGAGAUACUACUAGGCUAGGAGGCGGGAGAGGUCGACGGUACUUUCGGGGUAGGGGUGAAAUCCUAUAAUCCCGGGAGGACCACCAGUGGCGAAGGCUGUCGACUAGAACGCGCUCGACGGUGAGGGACGAAAGCUGGGGGAGCGAACCGGAUUAGAUACCCGGGUAGUCCCAGCUGUAAACUAUGCGGGCUAGGUGUUGGGGUGGCUACGGGCCACUUCAGUGCCGCAGGAAAGCCAUUAAGCCCGCCGCCUGGGGAGUACGGCCGCAAGGCUGAAACUUAAAGGAAUUGGCGGGGGAGCACCACAAGGCGUGAAGCUUGCGGUUC